CCCCUUCAAAUCCGCGGAGGAGGGGGCUAUAUCCUGUCCUGUCUCCGCAAGGGGACUAUGGCGAUAAACGCGCACGGAAUAAGCGGUUCGGACCCGGGGGCGGUACCCGGCGGCUCCACCAAUCUCCUGCUUCCCGGUCAUGGACGGGGGGAUCCCAGGACGCGAGGGGCCGAAACAGGAUCGACGGACGUGUAAAGGUGUUUGCUUUCGCUCGGCAGGAUGCCACCGUUACCGGCUCAAAUUGUACAGUUGCCAAUGACAACCGUGCUCCGGUGGCCGUCGCUGCGUAACGCAGCUUAAACCACCGAUCUUAAAGUCCUGUGGGUUUGCACCUUCAGGCGGGGCUCGCUGGCGCCUGGCAACAGAAGCCAGCACU
rnacentral:tmRNA from 1 species